CGGAAAUUCAAUUGCUCCUUUAGCUGAGGAGACACCCUGGCGACUGUCGGCAACGGGAGAGUCGGCGCGAACGCGCGCGAAGAAGGGGGCCAAGCAAGUCGCCAGAAAAGGAGCGGGGAGAGGGACGCCGUUGAGGCCAAGAAGGGGUCAGCAGAAAUGAAGACAUUUCCAAAAUCUGCAGCAACAUGACGGACACGCGCGCAGGUUCUCUCUCCUUCUGUUUGUUCUAAAACAGGCAAGCGCGGAAACGGGUUUCUGCAUGGACGGGCAUGCGCAUGCAGCCAUCCUGUGAGGGGCGAACGUGCUGGUCGCGUCGCCUUUUUUUUCGCUUGCUCUUUCCGGUUUCUGUUCCCAGGUGAGUUUUCGCCGACAGGUAUUUUGGGAAGAGCUCUGGAAUACAAAUGCCCAACAAUUCAAGAGAGCCGCUUCGCUGUUCGAAGCGUGAGACAAGAAGAGUUGCGCGAAGUUGCGCCGCGCCCUUGAAUUUUUAGGGAAAGUCGCUUCCAUGCGUUUCUGGCCAGGAAUUCACUCAAUCCUUUCUUUCGGUGAGCACAGAAACUUCUUGGACGCAAGCAACCGCUUUUAAGGUGGUGGAUGCGCGUAAGACGCGCUUUGCAAUCGUCUCGUGGACCGAGAAGAACCUCUCGAUUUCCCGAAAAAAGUGUCUACUCC
rnacentral:lncRNA from 1 species